rnacentral:rRNA from 1 species
UGGGGAAUAUUGGACAAUGGGGGCAACCCUGAUCCAGCCAUGCCGCGUGAGUGAAGAAGGCCUUCGGGUUGUAAAGCUCUUUCAGAUGUGACGAUGAUGACGGUAGCAUCAGAAGAAGCCCCGGCUAAUUUCGUGCCAGCAGCCGCGGUAAUACGAAAGGGGCGAGCGUUGUUCGGAUUUACUGGGCGUAAAGGGCACGCAGGCGGUCCUGCCAGUCAGGGGUGAAAGCCCGGGGCUCAACCCCGGAAUUGCCUUUGAUACUGCAGGACUUGAGGACAGGAGAGGGUGGUGGAAUUCCCAGUGUAGAGGUGAAAUUCGUAGAUAUUGGGAGGAACACCGGAGGCGAAGGCGGCCACCUGGACUGUUACUGACGCUCAUGUGCGAAAGCGUGGGGAGCGAACAGG